UAGGGAAUCUUCCACAAUGGGCGCAAGCCUGAUGGAGCAACACCGCGUGAGUGAAGAAGGGUUUCGGCUCGUAAAACUCUGUUGUUAGAGAAGAACAAGGGUGAGAGUAACUGUUCACCCCUUGACGGUAUCUAACCAGAAAGCCACGGCGUAACUACGCGCCAG
rnacentral:rRNA from 1 species